rnacentral:rRNA from 1 species
AACGAACGCUGGCGGCAUGCCUAACACAUGCAAGUCGAACGAGACCUUCGGGUAUAGUGGCGCACGGGUGCGUAACGCGUGGGAACCUGCCCUUAGGUUCGGAAUAACUCCCCGAAAGGGGUGCUUAUACCGGAUAAUGUCUUCGGACCAAAGAUUUAUCGCCUUUGGAUGGGCCCGCGUUGGAUUAGCUAGUUGGUAGGGUAAAAGCCUACCAAGGCGACGAUCCAUAGCUGGUCUGAGAGGAUGAUCAGCCACACUGGGACUGAGACACGGCCCAGACUCCUACGGGAGGCAGCAGUGGGGAAUAUUGGACAAUGGGCGAAAGCCUGAUCCAGCAAUGCCGCGUGAGUGAUGAAGGCCUUAGGGUUGUAAAGCUCUUUUACCCGGGAUGAUAAUGACAGUACCGGGAGAAUAAGCUCCGGCUAACUCCGUG